rnacentral:rRNA from 1 species
CCUGCUCAAUAUUAUACAAUAGCCGCUUUAUAGUGCUAAGGUAGCAUAAUAAAUUGUCCUUUAAUUAAGGAAUAGAAUGAAUGGGAUAAUGAUCUAACUACUUUAUUUAUAAUAUUUAUAAAAAUUAUCUUAAAAGUAAAAAGACUUUUAAUAAUUAGUAGGACGACAAGACCCUAUUGAACUUAUACUUAAAGUUUUACUGGGGCGGUAAAAACCUAAAUCUUUAAUUUUUAUCAAAUAAAAGCUAAAAAAUAGAAAUAAAAUCAAGUUACCAUAGGGAUAACAGCGUAAUAAUUUGCUAAAGUUCCCAUAAAACAUAUUGAUUACGACCUCGAUGUUGAAUUAACGUUCCACCUAGCAGAAAAUUUCUAGAAAGUAAGUCUGUUCGACUUUUAAAACGUUACAU